rnacentral:lncRNA from 10 species
GUGGAGACACAGCCAAACCAUAUCCCUUUUAUAUGAAAAUCCAGGUGGGCAGAUUUUUCUCUCAGCAGCUGUUCCCUGCAGAGUCUCCUUGCAGAGCCUUUCCUUGGACUUUCCAAAUCCAGCCCUUGGCUAAGGACUGACAGCAUCUCUCAGGCAGACCACUGCCUGCCCCUACCCUGUGCAGCUUCCUCCCACACAGCCUCACCCACAAACCCACCUUUCUCCACAGCCACAAACUCCGAUCUCUGCCUUCUUAGAGCAGAGAGGCCAUUCCUCUCCACGUGGUCUCACCUCCCUGCACCCUAACUGAAACCUGGGAGUGAGGGGAAAGAGGAGCUCAGGUCAUGUGCCUCCCGCCUCUCAAGGAUGGCAGCCUUGCGCUGGCUGUAGCAGAAUACCGGAAAAGAUCUGCCUAAGCCCCGUCACGAAGGGCCCUCGUAACUGGACCUCAUGCCAAACAACUCGUUACAAAAAGAGCUAGGGUCUCAGACCACGCAGAAGCUUCAUGAGACCCCUCCUUGUCUGCAUGGACAAGUGGUCGACUCUGGAUCCCAAGAUGUUGCUUCCCAGUUUGGUGGUGAAUCCUCCAUAGUCUGGUGAGUCUAACUGAAAGGCUCAACACUCCAGUGAAGAAGAAACCACAAAUGAUGAACAAAUGUUUUGUCACUCUUUCAGAUUCAGAAAUUUUGCUUGAAAAAAGUCUGAAGAAACUAAUUUAGGAAAGAAACCUCUGCCAAUAACUCUAAAGAGUUUGAAUUGGUUGCCUUUAUUCCUAACACUAUGAUGUUUUGGGAUAGGAACUAGUAGAUGGUAUUUUUUCUUUCCCAUUGGCAGUAUAUCAUUUACAACAGAUGUUCCCGACUCAGGAUAAAAUGUAACUGGCAGCCAGAGUCACCCACCAGCCCCUGAGGAAAGGGCUCAACCUUGAGAACAUCUGGCUGGCUUCAAGAAGGUCACACAAAUACAAGAUGAUGCUGAGGAUAAGACAAGUGGUUUUGAGAGAGGAAAACCUUUAAAAAUAUUUGGAAGAGUCCUGAAGACCAAUAAAAUAAAGACACUGCAAUACUUCAUGGACACCAGAGAGCAAUUUAACACUGAAAUGAAAGCAACAUGUUGCACCUGAACACUGAAAAAAGCCCAUGUGUUAAGAGGAAGAAGAAAUAUGCAAUUCACUGCAAUAAAUAUUGAACCUUUAAAAAACAGAAGGAACAUGAAAACUAAAGGACACUGGGCCACAGCAAAUAAGGUGGCGGCAGCCAUCCCAUAAUGAUUACAUGAUCUCCAUGAUUGUAAAAUGUAUAUGCCACCUGAAUUUAUUCUUAGACCUUCUCUCAAAGAUGUCUGCAUUCAACACAGGCAAUAACUGCAGGUAAUAGUGAAGAAUCCUUCAGGCAUGAUAGAGGAACAGACUAAGUGUGGGAAAAGGAAGAACUAGGCCGGGCGCGGUGGCUCACGCCUGUAAUCCCAGCACUUUGGGAGGCCGAGGCGGGCGGA